rnacentral:lncRNA from 1 species
AUGUCCAGAGAGAUGUGCUACGUCAAAUGCUGUACCAAGGUAAAUGAGAACAGCAGUGAGGACUUUCACGACAUGGGUCAGUGCAGCAGAUUUUAUCUCUCUCGCAGAAUGGGGAGCAGAAGGCUCAAACAGCUCUCCCAGGGUCACGGGGAUCCAGGGAGGGGACUGAGUCUGGACUGCAACACACCGAAGACUAGCUCCCAACAGAUACUCGUAACCUACUGCUCUACCUUCCGCUCCGAAGGAGGAUGGAAGAUGUCAAGUGGAUUUGAAAUAAGAGGUAUAAAGUCGGUAAAGAAGGAGAUCAAAGGCAGGGGGAGUGGUCAGGCAGGGAAGAUGUUACUGUGGGGCUGGGGACUAACAGCAUGAGCAUGAGAGGGCCCAUGGUUCAGUAGUACUAACUCCAUUACCGUCCUCACUGAUGCCUGAAAGUGCGUUAGCAGCUGUCUCCGAGGGUCGUUUUUCUUUUCUGGUAAGGGUUCACAUUCUCUCUGCAACUCUUCAGCUUAUCCCAGGCCUGCAUAUUGGUGUUUAUUUCUUCUUUAUAGCAUCCUCUUCACACUAUUUGUCCUUGCUCCCACCAUAAAGAUACUCACAUCCACAUACCUGUUUUGCUUUAUUUUUUGCUUCUUCUUGUUUCAUCCUGUAGACAUUUUGGAGAUAGGCUCCAGCAGGGAACAGUAGCCACUGGGCUCAGUAUUUGUGGCCUUGGUGUCCAGUGGGUUAUAAUUUUAGCUGCAUGUUUGACUCAGGUUCCUGGUUCUCACUCCAGACUUCCUGAAUUGCAGCCCCUGGAAAUGAGAGCAGACAGCUUUACUUUUUAAAAUUACCCAGGUCAACCCAUGCAACAAGCCUGAAAUUUAUCCAGGGCAAUAGCUCUAGCUUUAGAGUCGUUCUUUUACCAUUUAGAUUCUGUGAUUUCUGGGCUUUGAGAGCAAAGUAAAAUCACCCUUGACCAUGGGUGUCUUAUUAUCAUCUCUCUCUUGUUUACAGACGUGCCCCUUGUGGCUUUGGGGGCAUUGUGGGAAAUUAUCCUAGGUUGACCCUGCAUUUACUGCAAUUUUACAAUCCUGUCAUAAUUAUAUCCUGUCUCCUGCAUUUCCCUUGUCUGAAGACCAAAUCUCUCCUAAGCUGUCCUCUGUCUUGUCCUACUCUUAAAAAAGUAGCAUUCUUUACUGAUCUGUUCUUGUAGCUAUUUAAAACAACUCAGCUAUAGCUGCCUUUACCCAUUUAGUUUUUACCAUCCUCCUGUAUUCCAACUCCACAUUCUUGUCCCCAGUUUUUGUCAUGGAUCUCUCCUUGCAAAUUCAUAUCUUUUCUUCACCUGAGCCACGUAUUGUCUAUAUCACAAUUGCCAGGGGUAUAGGCU